AAGUCGUAACAAGGUUUCCGUAGGUGAACCUGCGGAGGGAUCAUUAACACUUUGAUACUAAAUCAAAACCAACCUGUGAACUUGUAUCACGACCCUGGUUUUAAGUCUAGAUUAUGACAUCGUACUGGAUAGGUAAAUUUUGUUCAUUCAAAAUUUGUAUGAUGUGAUUCAUAUGUAAAAAGUAUGCAACGACAUUUUAUGACGUUGAUUUAUUCUUAACAGGGCCUAAUUUGAAAGAAAGAAUUUAUUCUGACUUUUAUGAUCUAGCCUAUAGAUCGCUUUAUUCACCUUUUUUUUAAUCAUUAACUACUAAUGACUAUAUAACACAUUAGGUUUGCCCUGUGUGGACUGAUUAUGCUAAGCAAUUUAUUGUUUGCAUUGUUGUAAUUCAACCAUGAUACAACUCUUAACAAUGGAUAUCUUGGUUCUC
rnacentral:misc_RNA from 1 species